UGCAAGUCGAACGGUAACAGGUCUUCGGACGCUGACGAGUGGCGAACGGGUGAGUAAUACAUCGGAACGUGCCCAGUCGUGGGGGAUAACUACUCGAAAGAGUAGCUAAUACCGCAUACGAUCUGAGGAUGAAAGCGGGGGACCUUCGGGCCUCGCGCGAUUGGAGCGGCCGAUGGCAGAUUAGGUAGUUGGUGGGAUAAAAGCUUACCAAGCCGACGAUCUGUAGCUGGUCUGAGAGGACGACCAGCCACACUGGGACUGAGACACGGCCCAGACUCCUACGGGAGGCAGCAGUGGGGAAUUUUGGACAAUGGGCGAAAGCCUGAUCCAGCAAUGCCGCGUGCAGGAUGAAGGCCUUCGGGUUGUAAACUGCUUUUGUACGGAACGAAAAAGCUUCUCCUAAUACGAGAGGCCCAUGACGGUACCGUAAGAAUAAGCACCGGCUAACUACGUGCCAGCAGCCGCGGUAAUACGUAGGGUGCGAGCGUUAAUCGGAAUUACUGGGCGUAAAGCGUGCGCAGGCGGUUAUGUAAGACAGAUGUGAAAUCCCCGGGCUCAACCUGGGAACUGCAUUUGUGACUGCAUGGCUAGAGUACGGUAGAGGGGGAUGGAAUUCCGCGUGUAGCAGUGAAAUGCGUAGAUAUGCGGAGGAACACCGAUGGCGAAGGCAAUCCCCUGGACCUGUACUGACGCUCAUGCACGAAAGCGUGGGGAGCAAACAGGAUUAG
rnacentral:rRNA from 1 species